AGAACGAACGCUGGCGGCAUGCCUAACACAUGCAAGUCGAACGAGACCUUCGGGUCUAGUGGCGCACGGGUGCGUAACGCGUGGGAAUCUGCCCUUGGGUUCGGGAUAACAGUUGGAAACGACUGCUAAUACCGGAUGAUGACUUCGGUCCAAAGAUUUAUCGCCCAGGGAUGAGCCCGCGUAGGAUUAGCUAGUUGGUGAGGUAAAAGCUCACCAAGGCGACGAUCCUUAGCUGGUCUGAGAGGAUGAUCAGCCACACUGGGACUGAGACACGGCCCAGACUCCGUACGGGAGGCAGCAGUGGGGAAUAUUGGACAAGUGGGCGAAAGCCUGAUCCAGCAAUGCCGCGUGAGUGAUGAAGCGUUAGGUGUAAAGCUCUUUACCGGGAUGAUAAUGACAGUACGGAGAAGAGCCCGCAACCUCGCGCAGCAGCCGA
rnacentral:rRNA from 1 species